rnacentral:rRNA from 1 species
AUUGAACGCUGGCGGCAUGCCUUACACAUGCAAGUCGAACGGCAUCGCGGGAAAGCUUGCUUUCCUGGCGGCGAGUGGCGAACGGGUGAGUAACACAUCGGAACGUACCGGCUAGUGGGGGAUAACCCGUCGAAAGACGGGCUAAUACCGCAUACGCUCUUCGGAGGAAAGCAGGGGACCUUUGGGCCUUGCGCUAGUCGAGCGGCCGAUGUCCGAUUAGCUAGUUGGUGGGGUAAAGGCCUACCAAGGCGACGAUCGGUAGCGGGUCUGAGAGGACGAUCCGCCACACUGGGACUGAGACACGGCCCAGACGCCUACGGGAGGCAGCAGUGGGGAAUCUUGGACAAUGGGGGCAACCCUGAUCCAGCAAUGCCGCGUGGGUGAAGAAGGCCUUCGGGUUGUAAAGCCCUUUCGGCAGGGAAGAAAUCGGCGGGGCGAAUAACCCUGCUGGAUGACGGUACCUGCAGAAGAAGCACCGGCUAACUACGUG